rnacentral:rRNA from 1 species
UACGGAGGGGGCUAGCGUUGUUCGGAUUUACUGGGCGUAAAGGGCGCGUAGGCGGCCAGCACAAGUCAGUUGUGAAAUCUCCGAGCUUAACUCGGAAAGGUCAACUGAUACUGUGCGGCUAGAGUGCGGAAGGGGCAACUGGAAUUCUUGGUGUAGCGGUGAAAUGCGCAGAUAUCAGGAGGAACACCGGUGGCGAAGGCGGGUCUCUGGGCCGAUACUGACGCUGAGGAGCGAAAGCGUGGGGAGCGAACAGG